rnacentral:lncRNA from 1 species
GCAGACAUGCAACAUAUCAGAUACAUAUUUGCACAUAAUCAUCAUGUCAGACAUAGUUCACAUAUUCAACACAAGAAUGACUACACAACAUAGAGAAUCACACAUAAACACAUGCAUGCAUCAAUAGUCAGAAUACUUAUAUUUUACAGGGUUACUUACAGAACCCUCACAAGGUACACACAACUUUCUCACAUUAUCUUACCAUUUAUAAGAG